UUAAACUUGUGGGAGGGAGGCGUGCCGGCGAUAUUGAAGACCGGAGUAGCCUGUAACGCGAGAAUGCUUGGGAGCAAGAAUUGGGGAAACUUCUAGGGUUCCUCGUACUAACGGAACCUAGAAGUUAGUUGAGGGAUUAGGAGAAAGAGAUUACACUAAUCACUGUUUCAUUCAAAUUGAAUUGAUUACAUGUUUAGUUCUCUCUAUUUAUGAGUGAUUAGUGUUAACUAACUUGACUAAUUAACAACUAACUAUUACAUCAAUAUAUCUAUUGAGUGUAGCCCAUUGGCCUUUUAGUUAGUUGGCCCAUUCCGGAUUUAGCCCAUUCCGGAUUUAUUGAAAUAUUUGCAGUCUUGACCCCAAGCUUUAUCGUUAUCACAUCCAAGUCCAUUUAUUGAAACUUUUGCGCUAUUGCCCUUAAGUUCGUCUGUUAUAACUUUAUUAGUCUUGGGCUUUUUACCUGCACAAUAUUCUUAAACAAGUAAUUGCAUAUAUGUCCUGUAAAUAUAAUCAGACUUUAACUCUUAUUGUAUUUACAUAUUUAGUUCUCUUAUUCCUUUACUCCCCCCUCAAGCCUUGGAAUAUAUAUUCAAUAUUCCAAGCUUGAAAUGGAAUGCAUUAAUUUCUUUUUCACCAAGUGCCUUGGUUAAAAAAUCGGCAAGUUGGAAUUUAGUUCCAAUUUGCUUUAGUAAGAUCUUCUUUUGAUUUAUCAUAUCUCUUAUAAAAUGACAAUCUACUUCUAUAUGCUUUGUCCUUUCAUGGAAAACUGGAUUAUUUGCCAAAUGAAUUGCUGACCUGUUGUCACAGUAGAGGUCUGUUGGUUUUAUAAUUUUUAUUUUCAACUCAUCCAUCAAUUGGUGGAUCCAUAUGAUUUCACAAGAUGCUUGAGCUAUAGCUCUAUAUUCAGCCUCACAUGAUGACCUUGCUAUUGUAUUCUGUUUUUUUCGUUUUCCAUGAAAUCAGUGAGUCCCCUAACAUGAUGCAGAACCCUGUCAAGGAUUUUCUGCUGAUCUGGCAUGCUGCCCAAUCAGCAUCACAGUAUCCCUUGAUCACCAUAUUUCCAUUUUUACUAUAUAGAAGCCCUUGUCCAGGAGCAUUCUUAAUGUACCUUAUCAAUUUAAAAAGAACUUUAAGAUGAACCUCUUUUGGUUCAUGCAUGAACUGACUUAACCAGUUUACUGUAAAACUCAGAUCUGGCCUUGUUAUAUUAAGAUAGAUCAUUUUUCCAACCAUCUUUCUAUAGAAGGUUGGGUUUUUGAUUAAUGGGGAAUCAUCAUUCUUAAGAUCUAUGUGUCUUUCCAUUGGGAUCUUAGAUGGCUUUGCACCAGAAAGGCCAGAUUCUUCUAGAAUACCCAGUGCAUAUUUUCUUUGAGAUAAAUAUAUGCCCUGGGGUGAAUGAGAUACUUCAAUACCCAAGAAGUAACUUAGUAUUCCUAGGUCUUUUAAUUUGAAUUGUUUUUCCAAUAGUAUUUUGAUUAUUCCAAUUUCCAAUUCAUUACUGCCUGUUAUAAUAAUGUCAUCCACAUAUACAAUUAGAUAUAGGAUAUUCUGAUUUUUCUCUCUUAUAAAUAGAGAAUAAUCAGAUUUUGCUUGAUAAAAACCAAUAUCUAAGAGAACUCCUCUUAGUUUCUCAAACCAGCUUCUUGAGGCUUGUUUGAGACCAUAUAAAGAUUUGUUUAGCUUACAUACUCUCUUAUCUUUUUCUUCAAGUAAGCCUUGUGGAGGUUUUAGAUAUACUCUUCAUGUAAUUCUCCAUGCAAAAAUGCAUUAUUUACAUCUAAUUGAUAUAAAUUCCAUCUUUUGAUGGCAGCAAUUGCUAUUAUACUUUUUAUGGUUACCAUUUUAACUACAGGUGCAAAGGUUUCAAAAAAAUCGAAACCUUCCUUUUGUGUAAAGCCUUUGGCAACAAGCCUUGCUUUAUAUCUUUCUAUCUGGCCAUUUGGUUUGUAUUUUGUUUUAUAAAUCCAUUUAGAUCCAAUGGAUUUCCUGUUUUUAGGGAGAUUUGUGAGAGUCCAUGUGUUAUUCUCUUUUAAGGCUCUCAUUUCAUUUUGCAUAGCUUCAACCCAUUUUGGGUCAUUUGAAGCUUCAUUGUAUGAACUUGGUUCAUGAUUAACUGUUAUUUGUUUUAGAAAAUGUUUAUGGUGUUCAUUUAUUUUAUUAUAUGAGACAUGGUUACUCAUUGGGUAUUUUGACUCAUAUUCUUUCUUUUCAUUUUGAAAAACAAAAUCCUGAAAAUGUUUUGGUUUUAUAAUUUUUCUUCCAUACAAGCUUGUUCUUUGGCUUGUUGGUUGUAAAAAAUUAUUUUCAGGGUUUGUUUUACCCUGAUUUUGUUCUAAAAUGUUCUCUGAACUGCUAUCUGAAUUAGUUGUCUGGCUAUUCAGAAUGCUUUGUCCAGAGCAUCCUUCUUGCCCUGGGUUUUGGAAAUGUUUUUCUAAUGAUUUUAAAUUUUUAGUAGGUUUUGUUUUCCCUUGAUUCUCUUUUGAACUAUGUUCUAAGUUAUCUAGGAUAAGCUGUCCAGAGUUCAUCUCUUGAUCUGGAUUUUGAAAUUGUUUAUCUAAGGGUUUUUUGUUUUUAACAAGAUCUAUUCUUCCUUGUUCUUGUUCUGGAUUUUUUUUCUAAAAUAUUUUCUGAAAAAUGCUCUGGACUAUCUUGUCCAGAGUUUGUUCUAUUUUCUUCUGUUUGAAUGAACUCAUUACCUUUAAUGGUUCAUUUUCAAAACAGCUUUCUUUUAAUCUAUUGUCUUCAUUGGGCUGAUCAUUUUCAGCUAAAUCCAAUGAUUUAUCUUUUUCUGUUGUGAAACAGAUUUCUUUUAAUCCAUUAUCUUCAUUGGGCUGAUCAUCUUCAACUGAAUCCAAUGAUUUAUCUUUUCCUGUUGUGUUUGUUCCAGGUAUAACUGGGUUUAAAUUUUUUCUUAUGCUGCUGGUUUUAUAGUUAGAUAAUAUAUCAGUUUGUGGUAUAUUAUUUUGGGAUUUGCUGUUAUCUGACUCUGUAUUUUCAGACUGCAUUUUAAUUUUAUUAUUCUCAUUAUGCUGAUGAAUAAUCUGUUCAUAUAGGUUUUGUAAUGGUUUUUUGUUUAUUUCUUUGUUUUGUGAAUUUUUAGACAUAUCUUUAAAUGGAAAAAUAUUUUCUCUAAAAACAACAUUUCUAGAAAUAUGAAACUUCAUGUUUUCAAUUUCUAAGAUUAGGUAUCCUUUUGUAUUGGGUGGAUAACCCAUAAAAAUUCCUUUGAAUGUUCUUGGUGAGAACUUAUGUUCUCUUAUGUUUGUAGUUGCAUAACACAAACAUCCAAAAGUUUUGAAAUGAUCAUAAUCGGGGUUUUGUUCAUGUAAGAUUUCAUAAGGAGUUUUGUUCUCCAAUACCCUAGAUGGGAUUCUAUUUAUUAUGUGGGCAGCAGUUAAGAUGCACUCUCCCCAGUAUUCUAAGGGUACUGCACUUUGAAAAUGAAGUGCUCUGGCUACUUCUAACAAAUGCUUAUGUUUUCUCUCAACUAUGGCAUUUUGUUGAGGUGAAUAUGGGCAUGAGUACUGAUGUUCUAUCCCAUACUUUUCUAGUAAUGUUUUAAAAUUGUUUGAAGAGAAUUCUCCUCCAUUAUCACUCCUUAUUGUUUUUAUAUUUUUGUCAAAAAAAUUCUUGACUUUUAUUAUGAAAUUCUUAAUGCAUUCUAAAACCAUGUUUUUGGUUUUAAUCAAGAAGAUCCAAGUUGUUCUACUUAGAUCUUCAACUAUGGUUAAAAAAAAUGAAUAACCAUCAUGUGAGUUUAUGGGAAAUUUUCCCCAAACAUCUAUGUGUAUUAAUUCAAAUAGAUGUUUUGAUUUUGUUAAACUAUUUUUAUAUUUUAGUUUAGCUUGCUUUGCAAGUGGGCAUACAUAACAUUUUUCUUUUAUGAAAUCUAAAUUUUUAUUUAUUUCUGAAUUAUUCUGUUUAUUUUCAUGAAAAAAUACAUCAUGUUUUCCUAUAUUAUUAUUACAAUCAUACUUAUGAAUAGACUUUGAAUUUAUAGAUUUACAUUCUAUUUUAUUGUUUUUAACUAGCAUCUUCAUCUUUUCUGAUGAUAAGUGCCCUAAUCUCUUAUGCCAAACUUCAAAGUCCAUGGCUGUGUGUGCUAGUUCAGGGGAUUGUGGCUUCCAAAAAUAUAGUCCUCUUUGACUUCUACCCUGCCCAAUCACUCUCCCUGAUAUUUUUUCCUGAAAAUGACAUUCAUUUUGAUCAAAUAUAACAUUUAAAUUUGAAUCAGAGGUUAACUUGUUUACUGAGAUCAGAUUAACCUUAAAUUCUGGAAUAUAGAAAACAUUUUUUAAUACAAUGUUUUGGGAUAAUGUUAUAUUUCCAAUGGAAGUGACUUUGCAUAUUUCACCACUUGGUAUGGUGACAUAAUGCUCAUAAUUCCCUAUUGGAGUUUUAUCAAAAUGAUGGAGAUUCCCACUCAUGUGUUGGGAGGCUCCAGUAUCUAUAAUCCAAUCAUUCUUAUAAUUUGACAUAUGAAAAGAAAAUCUCAUACCAGAGGAUUUACUCAAGAAAUCUUUGAGCAUUAGUAGCUCUUCAUUAGUCAGCCCUUGCAUCUCCCUUGAGGUGGUGGCUUGAUUUGCUGUUUCUUGAAAAUCCUUCUUUGAGUCAUCUUUUCUUUCCUUUUUAAAUUUUUUCUUAUCACCUGGAAAACCAACUAGAUGAUAACAAUCUUCUCUCUUAUGCCCAAAAUAUUUACAAUUCUCGCAAUAGAACCUAGUGUCUAGCUUUUUUCCAUUCUUGCUAUACAAUCCCUUUUUCUUUGGAUCAUCUUUCUUAAUUUCAACCUUCUUUGCAAACAUAGCAUUUGCUUCUCCACCUAAUUUUUCUUUAGAGUUUGUUUUAUGCUUUUCUUCUUGUAUAACUAAGCAAAAAAUCUGAUUCAUGGUGGGAAGCUCAGGAAAUGCUAAUAUUUGACUCCUAAGAGCCAUGAAAUCAUCAUUUAGACCUAACAAAAAAUGAUGAAUCCUAUCUUUUUCCAAUUUUUUAUUGUAAAUUGGAGUGCACAUAUCACAAAAUUUGCAAUCCGGUUUCUCAAUCUCAACAAAUUGAUCCCAUAAGGAUUUAAAUUUAUCAAAAAAAACAGAUACUGAAUCACUUGAUUGAUUUAAGGUAUUAAUCUCAUACCUUAAUUGGCUUGUUUUAGGAGCGUUUUUCUGUUUGUACCUUUCUUGAAGGUCUGUCCAUGCUCCAUAAGCUGUAUCUGUAUGAAUAAGAGUAGAAGCUAUUUGAGGACUUACAUUGUUAAUAAUCCAAGAUAGGAUUAAUCCGUUUAUCAUCUCCCAGUCUUCAUACUCUUCCAAUGUCUCAUCUAUAGGCUUCUUAAUUCUGCCAUUAAUGAACGCUGUUUUCUUUCUGGAUACUAGAGACAAUUUCAUCGAAUUGGCCCAUGCUACAUAGUUUUCUUCUCCUCUUAGUUUGUCAGCGACCAUCUGUGCUCCUGGAUGAUCUCCAGCAGUGAGAUGAUAGGGGGAUUUUCUUGAGUAAUUCUUGUUGUUUUCCUUUCGAUAAUUCUUGUGUAUCGUUCUUGGUUUCUUCAACAAUAAGCUCGACGAUUUGCUCUCAUCGCUGGAAUCUCCAGAACUUUUAGCAUUCUCUGAUUCAUCAGCUGAGUCUUGCAUUGCGGAAGCAGUGAGGUCUUUGUCGUCGUUACCGGUAGAUACCAUGUUAAACUUGUGGGAGGGAGGCGUGCCGGCGAUAUUGAAGACCGGAGUAGCCUGUAACGCGAGAAUGCUUGGGAGCAAGAAUUGGGGAAACUUCUAGGGUUCCUCGUACUAACGGAACCUAGAAGUUAGUUGAGGGAUUAGGAGAAAGAGAUUACACUAAUCACUGUUUCAUUCAAAUUGAAUUGAUUACAUGUUUAGUUCUCUCUAUUUAUGAGUGAUUAGUGUUAACUAACUUGACUAAUUAACAACUAACUAUUACAUCAAUAUAUCUAUUGAGUGUAGCCCAUUAGCCUUUUAGUUAGUUGGCCCAUUCCGGAUUUAGCCCAUUCCGGAUUUAUUGAAAUAUUUGCAGUCUUGACCCCAAGCUUUAUCGUUAUCACAUCCAAGUCCAUUUAUUGAAACUUUUGCGCUAUUGCCCUUAAGUUCGUCUGUUAUAACUUUAUUAGUCUUGGGCUUUUUACCUGCACAAUAUUCUUAAACAAGUAAUUGCAUAUAUGUCCUGUAAAUAUAAUCAUACUUUAACUCUUAUUGUAUUUACAGAUUUAGUUCUCUUAUUCCUUUAC
rnacentral:lncRNA from 1 species